CACGUUAUGGUGGGCACUCUAAGGAGACUGCCGGUGACAAACCGGAGGAAGGUGGGGAUGACGUCAAGUCAUCAUGGCCCUUACGGCCUGGGCUACACACGUGCUACAAUGGUCGGUACAAAGGGUUGCCAAGCCGCGAGGUGGAGCUAAUCCCAUAAAACCGAUCGUAGUCCGGAUCGCAGUCUGCAACUCGACUGCGUGAAGUCGGAAUCGCUAGUAAUCGCGAAUCAGAAUGUCGCGGUGAAUACGUUCCCGGGCCU
rnacentral:rRNA from 1 species